rnacentral:lncRNA from 1 species
UGUGAAUCCCCCUCCUGCGGUCCUGCUGAAGCUUCCCAGCCAGAAGGGGGAUGUGUGACACGGCAGCAUUGGCUUUUUCAUAUGAAGUAGUGAUGCGCCCACUGCUGACAAAAAGAAGGCACUUUAAAAAUCUUUUGGUGUGCGGGGAUUGAUUGGGAAGCAAGGACUGCAGGACCCCACUGCUUUUAGAGCCCAUGGUUGGGUCUUUGACCUUGUAAAAGGAGGCAGCUGCUCCAGAGGAAGGGCAAUGUUAUCGUCAACAUUCAUGCUGCUGUCCACCUCCCCUCGUGCGUAGAGCUUGUGGAUGGGAACUGUUGAGUCACGGCCUGAACUACUGAUUGAUCACCUGAGGCAAGGGCUGAGUCAGGCAAUUCACCUGUGUGACUG